UGGUUUCUUCGUUUAUGAAUUAAAUAGAGUUGAAAACAGAUACAUACACUUAUACGGUUUCGGUUACAUAUAUUUCUAUGCAAUGAUCGAUACACUAUACUGAUGAACACAUGAAAUCUAGCUAGCUGUUAUUGGCCUUUAAUCGACCGCCCCCAUUUAUAUUCAAUUCUAUGAUACCUACACCUGAAGGACCCCGGAUGGCUGGUGGGUGAACAUACACAUACCCUUGUUGUUUUAGCGUCACCACCAUCAGAUACCGUUUGUUGGCUACCUGUCACCCUUGCCUGCGCCGCUCUGAGCUGCAGAAACCGCCUUCGUUCUUGAUUACUAGCACUAAGCAAAGGAUCAAAACUUGGGCGACACAUUUUUUUUUUUUGGGGCACUUUUUCUUAAUGUUUGAGGUCUGAAGAAGAAGUUAUCUAGGUUGUAUUCUUAUAGAAGAAGAAAGCAAGAAAAAGGAGUGUAAAGUGGCAAAGAAAGAGAAGUUAAACCUUGUAAGUUAUAUUAACAAAAAAGUUCGGGUUUAUUCUUUAUGAAAGUUGUUGUCUUGUUAGCCUUUUAUUGGGUGGUGGGCUAUCUUGAGUGUCGUUUUAUUACUUAAUCUCUUGUUCAAGAUAAUUUUGUAAUCUCCUUUUUCAAUUUAAUAUAUUUUUAGAUUCAUAUAAAAAAAUUAAAAUUAAAAUUAAAAUUAAAUAAAACAAAAGGAGAGAGAGGCAGAUGAUAUUUUCCCAAAAACAGAGUAGACCAAUUUUUAAUUGUGCAAGGUGUGCGCAUCAUCAAUAUUCUCAUUAUGUAGUUCAAGCAACAAACCCAUCUAACUUUAUAAACCAAAAUUCAAUUUCAAUUCAUAGUCCCUUGAAACAUUUAACAUAUCAUUUAAUCCAACCUCAAAGUUCUAGAAUAAACAAAUGGGCACCAAAAAAUAAAUAAAUAAAUAAAAUAUACCAUCACAUGUCACAUAACUUCAAGGUCAAUAAAUUCUGGCAUUACCGUCAGAUUUUAUUACAAAUAAAGUUAACCCCCAUUAUAGUAAAUAAUCAAAAUUAUUAAUUUUUAUCACCCAAUUGGAUUACUUUUUAAAAUAAUCCUUCUAUAUAUACGACUUUAUAGGAUAUGACUCUGAAAGCUUGUACAGAUUCCCUCAUAGAUAGCACAGUGGGUGCAUGCACUUUGACUUCUCUAACAAAACGUUCCGAAAACAUCCACAACAACCAUUCUCAUUUCUCCUCUCUGAGUAUGGACCUCAACGGUUGGUGCAACUCUGGCAAUCAAAACAUGUGCUGCUGCCAAAGCUAUGUGAAAAGGGGCUAUGAUCGGGUUCUUUCAUUUAACGGAUUGAUUACCGGAUCAAAGACUCCGCGGUGGAGGUUACUAUGGAGGAAGAUCAAGAGAGACAAGAAGAGGAUUUUUGAUUGUUCAUCAGGUGGUACUGAUGUACACGUGCCGUAUGAUCCUUGCACGUACUCACAGAACUUUGAUCAGGGGUACGAGUGGGCUGAUCCGGAUAACGCCUCGCGAUCCUUUUCAGCACGAUUUGCUGUUCCUUCGAGGGUUUUUCAGAAGAGUGAAUUGGCUGCUUGAUAUUGCAAGACCAAUAUGUGAACAAGAAAACGGUGUGUUUCUUUCUUUCUUUUUCUUUUUUUCCUCUUCUUUAAAUUUUGUGUGACAGUUGUUCUUGAUGACUAUUUAUCAGUAAUUUUGUAGUUUCAAUGUUAAUUAGAUAUAUAGAAUGUCUCCUCAUCGCCAUCUUCUUCUUCUUCUUCUCUUGGAUCACAAGUAACUGAAGAUGCUUUAACAGUAACUUGAGCUUCUAUAACAGUUGCUUGAAGUAAUUAAUUAAUUUCUUGCAAGCUCAAGGGAAUGCACAUGAAUUGAUUUAUUUUCUUCAGAUUUAAACAAUAUUAAUUAUGAUAAUAGUUUAUGUUGAUGAAUGAUGAUAAGUAUUCCAAUCUUCACGCCGACAAUAUGUUAUUGUUACUAUUAUCUUGCAGCUUGAAGCAACGACUUACUAGAAUAUAUGAAAUGAGCUUAGGCAGUUGAAAACUGAAAUGCAUUAGCUUUCUUAGGGCUAGAUGAGGCAAAAAAAAUUAUUGGUACAAUUAGAAUAAUGAACCCUUAAUGCUGUAGUUAUGCUGCUUAAAAAAAAAUUAAAAAGUAUAUUGAUCUAGUGGUCCUGAGCCUACUGCAGUGUAUGGGGCACUAACCCAGCUGGUCUUCAAGAAGUUACUAUACAUACAAGCAUGUGCUGAACAAUAUUAUAAGCACAACUUCAAAUCAAAAUAAUAAAGGCAAAACUUUUUUAUUCUUCCACAGGGUUAAAUUCUUUUUAUUGAGUCCUAUAUAAGUUUUAGCUCCUGCUCGUCGGCCUUUAAGAAAUAGUCAAACAAUCUGAUCAUGCUGAACAGUCAUUUUCAUAGCACUCAUCUUUUACUCGCUCUUUUUUUUUUUUUGGGGGCAAUGCAGCUUAUCUUCAUUGGAUUCUUUUUGGUUAGUAGGGUCACUGUAUGUGAAAAGUGAUAUAUGCAAAUGAAUUUAUUAAUUCAUUUUUCCCAAGGACCCAUCCCUCUCCCCAUUGAAAUUUUUGAAAUUCAACUAGUAAAUCAGAAAUGUCUUUGAAAUUUCACAAGCAAGAAAUAUGGUCCACUAAGCACUUUUUUAAAGAAGUCAAAGAUUCAUCUGGCAAAAUGUCGGUUCAUUCCUUCCAUUGCAAGUCUCAUGAAAGUGUGUACGCAUUAUAUGAUGGAUAAAGUAGUGGCAUAAACAAAUUUAGUAUAAAAUUAAAAAUUAAGAAAAAAAGGGGGAUUUUUUGGAUCCAACCAACAACCAAUAACAAUUUCAUUGACUUAGUUAUUUAGUGGCUCAUUGAAUUUCAACAUCAUAAGGUAAAAUGUCAGUUCCUUAGUAACGCUUGUCACUAGUUGUACUUCCACAAGAGCAAUUAUGAAAUUGAUUGACUUGGAGUGGGAAAAUAAUAAUGCCCUGUGAAUUAAGUUAUGUGGGCAGAUAUGAUGAAGUCUUAACAAAUGAAUUUGCUUCAGAAAAUGGUUUAGCAGAAAAACUAGAAAAGAAAACAGUGAAAUCAUUCUCAAACACAAACAAUGGUUGAGAUAAGCUUCAAAACAAUAAAGAUGCUUACCAAACCUGCUUUUUGUCUGUUUUCAAGCCAAUGUCACCUCAAAACAAUCAACAAUGGAAUGCAAAGCGCCUUCGGAUUUCAAGUUACCAUUAAUUAGCUUCCCACAUUUUUGAUAAAGCAUUUUUUGUAGAGCCCACGUAUUAGAAUGCAGAAACAGGCAAUAUAAGCUUCUGGGCAAUUGCAAGAGCCAGCCAACAAGAUGUAGACACUUCUGCAGGUUUUCUAACUGUACUGAGUCCUUAGUUUUUAUGACUUCAACUACCUGCUUAAGAGCUUCUCCAUGUUCUACAUAAUACCAAGGCAACUAAAAGAAACAACUUCAUCUACUCUAACUAACAAUUAAAUGCAAAUCAUUAUCUGCCACAAUAUAAAUGAAGAGGACAAAAGAACUACAUUCAUGAAGUAAAACUCUUCAAUUCUGUUUUCUCCUAUUAGUUCUGCCUAGCUAUUAGAUUUCACAAUGAUUACCAAACACAAAAUAGUUCGUUUCUCAAAUGCAUCACAUGUACAAGACUAAUUAAACUGCACUGAAUGCAACCGGCAGCGUAAAUUUCUUUAGAGUCUUCAAAUUCUCACCCAUUCAAGCAAAUGUCACAUAAAGGACUCGUACAAUUGAACCAAAAGGAAAGCUUGGCUCUCCAGCCGACAUGUGCCUUAUAAACAUAAGUUAAAAUGCACAGGGCUUUUGGCAAUCAGAAUUUUCUGAGGGACUUUCUGCUCCGAGGGGCUUUCAUAAAUAACAUAAUCAACUUCCACAUUACGAUAAGUCACACAGUGGAAAAUUUCAUCUAAUGCCAUGUGAUGAUGUGAAACAUAUGUCACAAGAAGGAAGCAGUUACUAUGCGAUAUAACUUGUAAAAUUCUUCAUACUAAUUUUAUCGUAUUGGAGGUCCCCUUAGAUUUCACUGCAGCGACAGUCUGCCAGCAGUGACUUAAAUUUCUAGUUGCAAUAGAUAUACAAAAUAUCAAUUAAACACGCCAAUGCGCACGUAGCCCAUUGGCAAUCCAUGCGCCCAAAAAAUCUUGGGCGCAUGGGUUCUGGCUGGGACUCGACUCCUCUCUUAGUAGAGGUUUACUUGUUUCUCUGCAUUUGAGAUAAAAUAAAUCUCCCUCCAGUAUUAAAAGUGAUAAUAGAUUUCUCUCCAAUAUUAAGUGAGGGUCAGCCUUCGAGCUAUGUCAUAAUAGGAUUAUUAACGAAAGUCUCAAAUGAUUUCAAAUCAUAAAUAUCCGUAGACCUCUGAUUGUAAUAUAUCAGUAUAUAAAAAAAAAAAAAUCAAUUAAACACACUAUCUAUUCAAGUUUUGAUAUUGAUAACAGAAAAAAGCCUUGACUGGAAACUCAUAAACCAAAACGUCCAGUGAUUUGACAUAUGCACCCUGAAACUGAAUGAUUUUUGAACAUAACAUAGAAUAUCAAGCCCAUAAAUUCAGUGACAAAUAAAAAUCAACGGCUAUUAUUCAUUGCAAGAAAUUAUCAUGUUCUAUUCCAAGUACUGCUGCAUAAUUUAGGUAGCAAACUGUAGCCUCUCUGUUUAAUAACACGCAUUUGAUUUCAUGCAUAAAUAAUGUGUAAGCAAAACAAUUAAUACAUGUUUCAUUCAUAUACAAAAAACAACAUGUGGCAAAUCUAUUGCUGCAUUCGGGUUACCUGUGUGAAAAGAGAAAAAAAAGGAGCCAUUUAUAUAUACCAUCUUGAAUGGAAAUGCUGCAUCAUUCACUUCAUGUCAUUACUUAAGCAAAAUAGGAGCCUUUUUAUUUUCUAUAUAAUCAUAGAGAAAAUGGAGACAAUGGCAACUCCAAGAUUACAAAUCCGAGCAGAAUCUGGCAGACAAAAAAAAAAAGCAUAAUCAGAAUUGAACAAAUUUUUUUCUCAGCAAAUUGAGGGGUGACUGGAAUGAGUCAAAAUUUGAAAAUAAUUAUCUUACUACAAGGUCUAGGCUAAAGAGAAGCCACAGACGACAACCACAGUAUAAAUGCUGAAAUCUAUAAAAACUGCCCGGGCAGUCUGAUACACCACCAAGCUUCUUUCCAUUAGUUGAAUUGCUUGUGUCAUGUUAUUCCCAUCUUCCUGAGGUUCCACAUUUUCUUUCUCAGCUUCUUCAGACUGUUUUUGCUGCUUAAGAAACACUUGCGCAAGCACAAUUGUUACAUCAGUUAGCAAGAGAAUGUAAAGAGGCCUCAGGGCCUCAACACUCUCUGAGCUUACAAUAUUGAUUCCAAGUAGUGCAUCAUCAAUAUAAGACAGAACCACCAGAAGUGCUAUCAGGAGAGCACAUAAACUGCGAAUACCCUGAGACGCGAUAAUGCACGAGUUAAUUUGCUUGCAAGAGAAUAGAAUUGGUUUUGGUAGCAGCUCUGUGUCAUUUGAUGGCUUUUCAACUAUUGGCGCUGCCGGCAUUGGCUCUGGCUCUGGCUGUGACUUGGUGCUUUCAUCCGCAGCAGCAACUUCAUUAACGCUUUUGGCAUCAUAUUUGGGCACCUGAGGAUCAACUUUUCUUUCAUGUUUGGGCACUUGAGGUUCAACUUGUCUUCCAAUGUCAUAAGUUUUUUCCCUUGGAACAACUAGACUACUAUGUUUCAGCAAUUGAUGAGGACCAGAGGGAGUAAUUGGACCCUCAGUACCAGCUGCAGGGCCAAAGAAGCCAAAAGCAACUUUACAAACUUAAAAUUCGCAAAAGAAUGCAUCAAUUCGAUUACUACAAGUCCUACGCAGAAUCUAGAAGAUAGCAAUAGCCAGUACUAAACAAAUUAACCAGAGUUCCUCUGUUAAUCGGCAUGGUCCAUAACAACUUUCUUUAUAGUAAAAAAAAUACAAUGGGAAUUUACUCCCAAAAUGAAUUUGAACCAGACACCAAACCCAUCUAAGAUGAAAUUAGGUCAAACAUUCAACGAAAGAAUUAAACUAUGUCACACUCACAUUCUAAAAACUUCAGGAAAGAUUUGAAUCCCAACACCAUAAAAUGUCCAAAGGAUAUGUAAAGGAAAAUGAUGACAUUCAUGCAUGCAUUAUAUUGUCACGUAACGGAAAUGGAAUAAAGAAUGGAUGUGAGGUCACCGUUGCUUUGAUUAGAGAUGAGGCUUUGAAGAUGGUCAUGAUGAUCGCGGGUAAAGACUAAAGAUUGUGUUGAUAAAUGAGUGGUUGCAGCACGAUGAUGAUGAGGACUUGAUAUUGGAGACGAAGGGAGGCUCUGGAUUCGGCCGCUGAUGAGAGCUAGACGAUCCGAUCCUCUGUCUAAUAUUCUCUUUCUUCUUUCUUCUCUGCUACUGCCGGUAGCCAUCUUUUCUCUUCUUCUCCCAUGCAACUUACCACCAAUAUAAUACCUCUCUCUUUUUGCGCCUUUAGAAAUGCCCCUUCUGUUAUUCUAUUGAAUAAUAUUUUAGACUUGUAAAUUUUUAGAAAGGUUAGGGGCAUUUUUGUAAACGCGUGGGUAACCUAUUUCUAACUUAAUAGAUAAAAUUCGGGGUUUUUAAUUAAAUAUGCCUUAAAAGUAGUGUAUUUAGUUAAAUAUACCCCAUGUUUGAAAAUUAUCUAAGUAUGCCCUUUUAUGUGGUAUAUUGUCUAAAAUAUCCCUAAAGAAAAAUAUAAAACACACACAACUCACAACACUCUUUGCUUCUCACGUAUUUAUCACCUAUACAAAAACUCACACCACACUCAAAAUCACUCACAAACAGCUAAUGCACUGAGUUUGUUUGCAGCUGGGUGUAUUAUUCAUCCCAUGAAUAAGGUAUUUGAAACUUUUUUUAUUUUAUUUUGGGCUAUCUAUUCAAUUUGUUGACAUUAUAUUAUUUUUAGGGUUUUGUUUGGUUUGUGAUAAACACUAAAGCAACUCAUAUUUUCAUUACAUUUGCAUCAUAUGACUGUUAUUUGAUGGAUUUUAUAACUACAUUCGUUAAAAUCUAAAGUUGUUGUCAAAUUUUUUUCUGCACUCGACAUACACGACAGUAGUUGUGUAUGUAUGUAUUUACACGACUGUAGUCGUGAAAAUGUGCAAAAAAUUUCAAUUAUUAUGACACCUUAUCAUUCUAUUGGUUCAAAAAAUAUAUAUUUUUCACUAUAUAUAUAUCCUUUUACUAUUACUAGACUAUAGUCGUGUGUGUUAAUAAGUUACACGACUACUAGCGUGUACGUAUGAACUUACAUACUAUAAUUGUUAAUAAGUUACACGACUACUAUGAACCUUAUAUACUUGUUAUUUUUUGUUGUUUUAAUUUUUUUUAAUAUCUUUCAUAUUUAGUGAUAAAUUUCUACCUUUUUGUUUCGCAGAUGAAUAAACAUGUUUGUGUGACUUUCUAAGAACAAGUAUUGAAGGGAGGCGACCAGAGGCUUAUAAAAUAUGGACCGAGUGUUUUGGUUGAAUAUGCCAAAAAUUUAUGAUGAAUGUUAAACAACUUCUAUUGUAUUACGACUUAUUUACAAUUUCAAUAACUAUUGGAUUUGUGUUAUUUGAUAGGCAACCGGACUAUAGUUAGUUUCAUUUAUUUGAAGUUUGAUAUGUUUAAAAUCUAUAUUGAUUGUGUCAUCAAUAUAAUGAAUGAUUGAAAAGAAUUUUUAUUUUGUGCACAUACCCAAGUACAAUCGUGUAUUUUGGCUGUUACAAAACUGGUCAUGUUUAUUUCUAAAUACUCGACUACAGUCGUGUAUCUGUGCAAAUACCCGACUGUCACAGAGAGCUUGUCAUAUUUAUUUCUAAAUACUCGACCAUAGUCGUGUAUCUGUGCAAAUACUCGAUUGCAGUCGAGUAUUUUAUCACAGAGAGCUUGUCAUUUUUAUUUGUAAAUACCCGACUACAGUCGUGUAUCUGUGCAAAUACCCAACUGCAAUUGAGUAUUUUGUCACAGAGCUUCAUAUGUUUAUUUCCAAAUACCCGACCGCAGUCGUGUAUCUGUGCAAAUACCCGACCGCAGUCGUGUAUCUGUGCAAAUACCCGACUGCAGUCGAGUAUUUUAUCACAGCUUAUUAUGUUUAUUUCUAAAUACCCAACCGCAGUCGUGUAUCUGUGCAAAUACCCGACUGCAGUCGAGUAUUUUGUCACAGAGCUUCUUAUGUUUAUUUCCAAAUACCCGACCGCAGUCGUGUAUCUGUAAAAAUACCCGACUGCAGUCGAGUAUUUUGUCACAGCUUAUUAUGUUUAUUUUCAAAUACCCGACCGCAGUCGUGUAUCUGUGCAAAUACUCGACUGCAGUAGAGUAUUUUGUCACAGAGCAUAUUAUGUUUAUUUCCAAAUACCCGACCGCAGUCGUGUAUCUGUGCAAAUACCCGACUGCAGUCGUGUAUUCUCUUACAGUUUAUUCCCUGUGCAUAUAUUGUGCAAACUAUCUUAUCUAUCAUUAAUAUAAAUAACAAAGAAAUAAAAUAUAUUAAUGUUGUCAAUUGUUUUUAAUGACAUCAAAUAUCAACAACAUCCUCAUUACAACUAUUACAUCUCAUAAUCCAAAAAAUGAUACUACAAAGUUUUUUUCCAUGACCUAUGCCCAAAUAAUUUUACAACCAAGGCUUGUCGAAAUUGUGUAACAUGAUCUUCUUGGCAGUAUGAAUUGACAUCAAGUCCAUGGGCUAGGACCUCCAAGUACCGCAACAAAAAUGCUCCACAGUCACCACUAAAAAAAUUCAUAUAAAUCAAUUGUUAAAAAUCAUCAUUCUUAUUAUUAUGUUCAAAACACAUUAUAUAUAUAGUACAUACCCUGAUUUUUGUUGCAGGAUGUCACGCACUCGCACAAUGGGCCAAGGAAUUUUCGAAAUAACCUCACUACAGUCUGGAUGUGUUUCGUGAUAUGCUAUCUUUUGAAGUACUAGAGGUAUCAUGUCUGCAACAUGCAGCAAUUGUCUCACCAGUGUAACAAUACAACAACACGACAUCUUUAGAUUAUACUGUCUAUUGGACUGAGUAGCUAGAGAUAUUAAGGUUUAUCCUGUUUUCUAUUUCAUUGGUACCGUAUACACAAGAAUAAUUGUGCGACCACUUUAUUAAGCAUUUUAUAGGGUAUUUGGUCUUUCUAACAUCAUAAGUGGGUCUUUUGAAUGAGUUUUACCAAUUUUUUGAUCAAAUCUCUCUGCACAGACGAAGUAAGUUGAGAAGAAGGCCUGCUAUUCACCUUGUAUGAAAUAUGUGAAGUCACCCAGCCCCCAUAUAUGGCCACCGUGCAUAUCGGUUAUGAACUAUAAUUGAGUGUCAUAUUGCUAAGCUAAGGCUUGGUGUGUAGGUUUAUAAGUAUUCGGACUCCCGCACCUUACAAGCCAUUUUUUUGGAUGAAUUCUACCCGAUGUGUGUGCAAAACAAAUUGGAUGACAAUUAAUCAGAAAAUGAAUAUGUUAAAUCAAUUACUAGUCUAAUCGAGUGAAGCCUUAUUAUCUGACUUUUGCAAGAGAUGAAAAUUAAUGCAAGGUAAAAGACAAGCAUAAGCCUAAUCAAGUGAAGUCUUGUCAUCUGACUUUUACGAGAAAUGAAAAUUAAGCUUUUGGCACAAGACUUUGCACACAUUUCAAUACCAGCUGUAAAUGAUUUUUUCCAGAAAAAUCAAUAACUUGAGCUUUGAAGCUUUCAAAUUUUAUUUUACAUUAAAAUAAAAAAUUUGACUUUCUAAAAGUACCUGGAAGAGGAGACGCUGAAGCAGAGUGGGGGAAUUGCAGCUACUGGUUUGUAGAGAGGCGAGAGUGUGUAGAAGAAUAGUUGUAAAAUGACAGGGAUUUGUAAAAUGGAGGAGGAGAAAUCCAGAAGAACGGGCUGAAGAAGAAGUUGCUCAUGAGAAAAAAUUAGGGAUUUUGUUACACGAUUGGUUGUGGUAGUUUAGUUGAUUUAGAUUUUUCAUUAGGGUAAUUUCAUAACUGCAUAUUAGAAAAGGCAUAUACGAGGAAUAUUUGAGUAUGGGGUAUUUUUAGAUAAAUACCUUUUUUUUGGGGUAUACCACGGACAAAUCCCUGAUAAAAUUCAGUUUGAGUUAAGAAGUUUUAGAAGAGCGAAGUCGUGCGGUUUAGAGGCGAGAGAGAGCGAGACUGAAGUUCUUCACCAUCAACUUUCAUUUUCGUCGGCAGUUCGUGGGUAUCUCGCUGGUAUAGACGAAACGAGCAUCAAAACCUAAGAUUGAAGAUUAGUUAAUCAUGGAGCUUUGAACUUAUUAGUUUUAAUAAUUUACCGUGAAAAAAAAGAAAUUAGGACUUGUAAAAUUCAAAAUUGAGGAUGCUACUUUAUGAUAAUAAAGAUUGUUGUUUUGCUCUUGAUAACUUCGUUUACCUUAAAAACACAUGACAGCAGAGUAAGAACAUUAACAAAAAUAAUUUCUAUCGAAGUUUCAGACUUGCAGAUUUAUAGACUUGCCAAAAAGCUUAGAAAUCGAGAACACGACUAGAACAAUCUAAGAAACUCUAAUACUGCAAGAUCAGGCACAAUGAAAUUCACCACACACAUGGCAAGUGAAUAAGUGACCUGUAUAUUUAAGUAUAAUUGAUCAUGUUUUAUGAAACAAAAACUAAAUCAUAAAUACUCUUAACACCUUUGAUUAUUAGUAAACAUCAAAACUAAUCUUAUGAUAAAUAUUAAAGAUAAUGCGGCUUCAUAAGAGAGCAUGCAAGAUUUAUAAAGAUUAUUUUAAGGCAUUAGUUGAAGAAAUAUUAAGGGUUGUUUGAAUUUUGUUGAGAGAAUAUGGUGAUUUUGGUGAAGUAUUGGAUAAUUUUGUAGGACAUGCUUUUGAUGAAGAUGAAAGGGGUAUUUUAGACUAAAGCCCACCAAAAUGUCAUAGGCAUUAAAUCCUGUGCAGUUGUCAUAUUUGUAUAAAGUAUGUAUGAUUUUGUCAUAUAAAUAUAAAAUACCACAGAACAGAAUUCUCCGCAGGGUUGAGGCUAGGCUCGACAAAUGUGACAAACCUGUGGUGUGUUUAAUAUUUUUUAUUUUACUAAAUCACUUUGUAUUAGAAAAAGUACAACUCGCAUACACAAAUAUGAUAAACUAUUCAAGAAAAUAUUGGACUAAAUUUUGCUAGGGGCUGCACUCAAAAGAGUACAACACCUCCAAAAAUUGAAGUAUGCCGCUGAAAGUGGCGAGCACACGGUAUUCUUUAGUAAAAGGCGAAAGAAUAGUUCGCUCUGUGCUCACAACACGGCUCCAUAGUAACACUUGCGAAAAUUAUCCAUAUUAUAUACAUCUAUUCUGGUAACUGGCUUGAUAACUUAGCCAUGUGGGACUAUAUGCAUAACUAUAUCUUUUCGCUUGUUAGCUCUUCGAUUAAGCAGAUGACAUGACACUGCACAAUGUUCUAUAUGGAUUCAUAAAUUACAGUCUAUGAAAUGUAUUUAUAGGGUCCGCCUACGUUGCAACAGUUGCAACGUACCACACUUUUUGUCUCCAUUCUAGACAGCCAUUGGAUGUAAACUAAAUGAAUCUAAUGGUUGAAAAUAAAAAGGAGUAAAGGUCUAUAGCCGGUUGUAGACAUGUACUGUAUAAAACUUAUUGAUUCUAGUUAUUUUUUUUGUUUUUUGAAGAAAUACCGACUCUAGUUUGAGAGGCGUCCAUCCAAAGAUUUUGCACACCCCUGCAAUUGAGAUCAUCGAAAUCUUUUCCACCCCCAAAAAAUCCGAUGAUUGAAGUGUUUUUCAUCCCCAGAAAUAGUGAUUAGUUUUGGUGUCUCCCGAUAAAAUCAUAAACGACGUAAGUAAAACUGACGGCCGAUAUAUGACGGUGGCAACUAAUCGGAAAAGAUACUGGGCGGUCGUGUAAGUUUAGGAAUUACAGACAUCGAUUUGCCUCAUAACUUGCCUCAUAAUAGAGUCAAUUUCUCGCGUGCACUGGAUCAAUUAGAAUUUUUUUUUUUUGCAGAAGUUGUCAUUAAUUAAUUUUCUAUUUAUUGCUUUUCUUUUCAUGUUUAAUACCCGAAAUAUGUCUCCUUUGUUGAACUCUCUUUAGCAAGAAUGGCAUCUGAAACUGUAUUUUUCUUCUUCUUCUAUUUGGUUUUAGUUUUUUCUUCUUCUUUUUUUUGGUUUUAGUUUUUUCUUCUCUGAGGAAUUUCGUCAAACAGGUAGCAGGCAUGAAAUAUAUCUAAGCUCUUUUCAACUCAAAUGUAAGAUAACACACAAAAACAUGUUAAUCAUCCAAAUCCUUUCCCCCAGUGCUUUGCAAUUGUGUUCUUACGAUUUUGCUGUCAACGAUGCAAUUAUCAAAUAAAAUCAAUUACACCCAUUGCACAAACAAAUUCGCCAUUUAAUUCAUAUGCCUUACAGACCCACCCCAGGAUGCAACAUACAUGAAUCUUGAAGAUCUUCUCCCCCAACAAAUUGCAACAUAUGUAAGGAAAUCGAUUUAGGUGUUUGUACAUUCUUUCGCAACCACGAGCUGCUAAACCUUAAUUUCUAUUUUCAUAAGAAAUCUGCAUCUAACUGGAUGAUUUUUUGUGGAACUGGCUUCAACGGUUACUGGUUGAUACUGUCUUUAUCACCUACCUAAUUUGAAGCGUUAGAUUUGUUUAGUUUACAUCCAACGGCUGUCUACAAUGGAGACAAAAAGUGUGGUACGUUACCAUAGUGGUAACAUAGGCGGACCCGUAUUUAUAAUACUAAAUUACCUUCUUAUUUUUUUGGGCAGAUUUUAGUCAGUUGUAAUAUAUUUUUUUAGCAUAUUAAAUUUAAAAUAAUAAUAAAGAUACCAGUACACUGACAGAUCGAAACCACUAAAGAAAUCUAUAUCAGGAAUCAGGAUUCCACUUCUUAUCUCUUGCUGGAAGGAUCAUAAACAAUUCCUCAACACCAUACUAUAUGAUAUGUGAUUGUUGCAAAGCAUGAUUAAUUUUCAGUCACUUCCUUUGAUUAAACUUUAAUUCAUACUAAUUAGCCAAUAUCUUUCACUUUGCAUUAGAAAUUAGAUGUCUUGAAGUUUCUAAUUUCAAAGAAAGUGCAAGGUACAAAACAGAACACAAGGCACUAAAUAACGCAUUGAACACCGGCAAACAAGCAAAGAUUGGAACACCAUUUGAUAAUCUAAAUAAGUAAUCCUUGAGUUGGUCAAAUUUUGCUAUAGAAUUGGUAGGGGUACGCCAGGCCCUUGCAAUAGUGCAACGCACGGGCGACGCUCAGGGCACACAGUAGCAAGCUACUGCAUUGAGCCCUCCCCAGGAAAAAUUAAUUUAAUAUCGUGUGGACCGAUGAUCCACAUAUCAGAUAUUAAACUGAUAAGAACAGAUACUACACUUGAUCUUAGCCAAAAGGCCGAGAAAGGUAUGAGUUACUCAAUUUAUCUCCUCUGUUUUUAUAGCUCUGUUUGGCACUCGCUUCUGUUGUUCUAUCGAUGUGGAACAUAAGCAAUUGAGAAGAGAUCACUUGAAUUUUCUGCAUUGAAAUGCAACGUACGGUAUUGGUGAUUAAACAGUUGGUUAGUUCGAGUUCUAGAAAUCAGUGAGAAUAUACUUGUUAACAGAAUUGUGUCAAUAACAGAGCAGCGUCGGGAUCCUGAGUUGUAUUGUACACAAGUUACUGUCAAUUGCCAUUCAAAAAAGAAAAUAAUAUAUAUCAUCAGAAUGCCGGUCCACGCAGCAAUUUUGACACAAACACAAUAUCUUUCACAACUAAAAAUUGCUUCCUUCUCCCAGUCGUGCCAAGAUGCUUGCAUUUCUAUAGAUUGAACCAACCAUCCCCAGUAUUGAAAAGUUAUACUCUUUAUAGCAAGCUUAUGAUCGAAUGUGGCCGUUUAAGGAAAUUGGCUCACGUGUUGGGCAAUUGAGUCGGCAAGUCAAUGACAAGAAAUUUUAAAACUAAAGAAUUGUAGGGCUUUACCCCGGAGGGAGCCCUUCCAGAAAUUCUCGAAGGCCAGGGCUGAACCCAGGCCUAGGAGGGGGUUUGGAAAUAGUUUUCAACCAGCAAUAGACGCGCCUCGGUUAGAACCUCACUAGCUGCGUCAUUGCCCCAAGCGCAAAGAUGCUUUGAGAUUUUGAAUAGCUCUCUUAAUAAAUUGAUUCCAUCACAGUCUAUAUUGCUAUCCGGUCCAUGUGGGACUUAGCUUGUUGUUUGAGGACUUAGCUUGUGCUCAGUCCCAGCUUGUGUUAUUGUGAGUGAAGGGUAUGAUGACUCUCCCAAGCUAAGUUCCACAAGUAACGUCUUUUUUUCUUUUUUUUAAUCCACCAUAACCUAGUCUUUGAUAAAAAAUUUAACCUCGAUUAGAAAGAGCGUAGAUUCAAUUGGUAUUGAGGAAGAGACAUUCGAAUUUAUCAUUAUGGCUGCGUUAUGUUAAGAAACAACUUCUACAUUCUAGUGGGAUGAGGAAACGUCAUCUUUGUGGAAUUAGCAUCAUCUUCGAAAUUGUUAAUUUGUGAACAGGAGCUUCUGUUACCUGUGCCAACGCAGCUGGAGCAGAUUCUGGCAUUGGCAAAAAUGCUUUCGUGGAUCAGAAUUCUUCUGCGUGAAGGGAAAUUGAAAAAAGUGAGAUCCCGGCUGUGAAGUAGCUUCAAAAGUUUUAGAGCCAUCUAGUUUCAGUCAGGAUUAAUUGAGUGGCACACGUAGAGAAGUUCUUUUAGACACAUUUGAAGUAGUAAUCAGUACCAUGUAUUAAUACCAAAAAACCAAAAAGAGAAGGGAAAAAUUGUAGUAGCGAACAUGAGUGUGAAAACCAAUCUCCUUAUAGCAGAAUGAUCAUAUUACAUACAAUGUGAGGGAAAUUGAAUACUCUUGCUGGAAGGAUGGAUCUUUGUGAAUAAUGUUGAAGAUUUGUUUUCAUCACACUAUUUAAGUUCCUAACAAUUCUUUACACCCUCAAAAAGCUUUUAGACAAAUUAUGAGGUAAAUUAUCUUUAUAAGAACUUAAAAUAUGAUUUAUUUACUCUCAAAAUUUUGAUAAAGAUUCGGGGGGGCCCAGAGGUAACAUGUUAAUUGUACAAAACAUAAAAUACGAUUUAUCUUCGCUAAAAUUUCAUUUGGUAUAAGUCAUCAGGCCCUUGCAGUAGUGCAACGCAUGAGCGAGAGACAAGGGGCUCUCCGCAGCAAGCUUUACCCUCAUAUCCCAGAAAACGACCAAAGGUACGAUUUAUUUCGGUCCACAAUAAAACCACACUGCUUAGAUUAAAAAUAAAAAAUAAAAAAUAAAAAUUGAGAUCUCACUUGGUGGGGUGCGCCAGGCCCGUGCUGUAGUGCAACAUAUGGGCGACGCGCAGUGCUCACGGUAGCAAGCUACCGCAUUGAGCACUCCCCUUAAAAAAUUAAUUUAAUAUCGUGUGGAUCGAUGAUCCACAUAUCAGAUAUUAAACUGAUAAGAACAGAUACUACACUUGAUCUUAGCCAAAAGGCCGAGAAAGGUAUGCUUUGCUUCAUAUCUUGGUUCUGCAUUUAUAGCUUUGCUCUGCAUCUUGCGUACGUUGCCCUGUCGAUGUGGGACAGAAUUAACUCCCUGUCAUACCUAGCUCAAGAAAGAAGCUAAUUCUCGAAUCCAUUCAAGAUUAAUUCACAAGUCUUAGUUUCAUACAGAUCUCACUAAACCUAGAGAUUACAUUAAACCUACCAAAUCAAAGAGGGUGGCUACCUGGUUCAAUUUGUUGUUGUUGCACAAUCAAGACAGAGCAUUUGCCGUUAUAAUCUGUUGAUGCAAGCAAAUCUCCAAGAAUACCAAGCCCAGGAAAUUCGCUUCAUUCUUUCAAUCCUGAAGUCUGCGGUGGCGACCCCAAAUUAUAUCUUCUUCCAACAAUAAUCAAAUUAAAUUCAUUCACCAUUGAUCUAAUAACAAUUGCUGUUUCAGGCCCAUCCACAGCCUUCUCAACGUCAUUAGAACACCCAUUAGUUUUAACACUCCUUAAUGACAGAGUAUCCCGCACUUUGUCCUAAUCUUCAAACCCAUCGUCUUUAGCAUUUUGUAAAAUGUACCAUGGUGAGACAAACCCUAGAGUCUUGUGCCAUCCUUUUGCCCAAAGUUCAGGCUUCCCGGUCAUCAGCGCUGCCAAAGAAGACCAUAGCAACAUCAUAUGAUGGUAAUUCAUUUGCAGAUGUAUCUUUACUUUGACGCCUUAAAUUGCCAUGGUCAAUCAAGAUUUUUAUCGAACAAGGAGCUUUUUCAAGGACCUUGGAAUUUAAAAUCCUGAUGCUUUCAUCCUCUGAUUCUUGAGCCAUCAAUGUACCAUCUACGAUGAAAUGGGAGGAUUAUAAGAGAAGCAACCUUGUCCAAUACAAGUGUGCAUACAUCAUCUUGCAUUAAACUCGGAGGAUAUACGGCUGUAAACGUGUUAAUGGAUAAACAUUUUCUAAAUGACACUAAGUAGACAGAGCAUCUCUGUUCUUUUAGUGAGGAAUGAAGAUUGGGGUUGCCUGGCCUCUAAGCUUGACAAGAUGAAGCACAUUACGAGCCAUGGGAUUAACUUUUAUAGGGCAUGCGAUGUCUAAAAAAUUGAUUACUGUUCUCAAAUUGUCUGGAACAUGAAUAGAAGCAACGAUUUGUAGCUCCAAAUGGGGCAUCAAAUCAAUAAUGUUUCGUUUUUUAUUACCUGCAUACUUUUUAAAGGAUCAUAUAGCUUGAUUACUAGCAUAGGCACAAUGCUUGCCGAUAAAAUGCUUAGAAGAAACAUAUAAGAGUACAACUCUCUAUUCAUAACCUGCAUUUUAGUAAAAGAAAACAAAAAUAAGAAAUGUAUAUCAGCAAAGAAUUAGUCCAAACCUUUUCUUCCAAAGUUAUUGGCUUAAAUGUAAUACCCUUUUGUCCGAGAGGAAGCUGAAGAUGCCAAGCUCAAGAACACCUUUACAUCUCAUUAUGGAAGCGAGUGCAAGAGCAUCUUUUGUUGGCAUCUUACUACACAAAGGAGGCAACAAACACACAACAAAUUUCACCACGGAAACGAAGCAGCGAGCAUUACUGCUUGUUAAUGCAUUCUUCUUACCGAAGAUAUUAAUUGUGCUUACUCUCAUCCCAUAAGCAAUCACAAAAAAUGGCAAGAGCAAGUUAUUAUCCGUGCUUUCGAGCUUCUCAAACAAAGCAGACCCAAAUGGCGCCAAGACCAAGAGCAUGUAGUUACCGAACCAUUUGCCUAUACAAACACUAAAGAGAAACAAAUGGGUGAUUAUUGUGGUGAAUAUUGAUUGCCGAGGUUUGCCUUCUGGUGUACAUCUUAUUACCAGUUUCACUGUGGGUCUAAAAACGAAGAAAACAAAGGAAAGAUGGACACUAACAUAAAAUAGUUCUCUCAUAAAUUUUCUAACGCCAUUAGUAUUGCCAUCCUCGCAAAAAUGCUAGCUAUGAUAAAAGUUAGAUCAUUAAUGAUAGCUGAAGAUAGGCCUAUUCGUCUAAGUUCAGAAUCUGUGAUCCUUAAAUUAUUGAGGAGACUAUAGACGGCCGGAGAUGUAGUAGUUGCGUAACCUGGAGAAAUGAAUAAAGUUUUCCAGUGGUUGUCUUGGUCAAGGCCAAGAUACGGAAGGAUUAGUGAGCGACAACUAAAGGCGCUGCCACAGAAAGAAGGCCAGCAUAUAAGGCUCUUUUGCUAGCUCUAAAUAUCAUCCUUGGAUCCAUUUUCACUCCCAUUAAGAAGGGGAAGAAAGCAAAGCCAAAUAUGCCUAUUGUUCCAAGAACUUGUACGCUGCCGUCUGUCAUCAAGCUCUCUGCUAGAUCUUUUGAGAGUAUCGCCGGAGAAAGAAGAAGGCCUAUAGUUCACAAAAAUUAUCACAAUAGCUCAGUUAAAUUGCCCAUCUAAUAACUAAAGCAAAAGCAUAUUUUCAUUAGAACACCAUUUUUUUAAUAUUGGCUGUAGGUUUGGUUGCACAAAUUUUUCUAAUUUUGUUUCUUAACAAAAUAACACACGUUAAGAUAUGAUCCUUAUGGCUCAAAGUUGAAAGAGAAUAAACCAUAGUUUUUAUAACUAUAUAAUACUAAUAACACACACAUAACACAAGAUUUCUAAAAGUUCAUAACAGCUCACAAUACAGAUGAUCUAAACUCUUACCAGGCAUGAGACAUGUUUUUACAAUAAAGAUUCUCAUUUUAUCUGAACUCUUUGAGCAUUUAAAAAAUUUAUGAAAAAUCUCAAACAAGGAGAGAAUCUUAUUAGUGAAUCUUAUAUGCUUUAUAUAUAUAGAUCUUAAUAAUUUGGGAAAUUAGAAUGAUACAGACAGAAGAGGAGGAGACCAAAAGGAAAGGAGCUCAUACAAGAAGCUGUGAGGUGAACAAUGGAAAUCCCCAGCGUUUGAGAAUGAAAUGAUAGGACUAACUAAUGGCAAAGAUUAAAGCUAUGCUCAGCUCAAAUCAUGGCAAUGAAAAAUCCAGCCAAUGAUAAGCUGAAAAUUUUGAUAAAAACUGCUUGCACAAGCCAACCAACUGUACCUUUGGUUGAAAUAUUUGGCAAAUUCACUUGCGUCUUAUCCACCAUUCAUGAGUGGUUCGUUUUUGCUGCGUUUCGUCAAAGAAGAUAGAGAGGAAAUAAAGAGAGAAGAAAAUUUUGAAGAAAGGAGAGAAUGGAUAAUGGAAAAAAUAAAAUAAAAUAAAAAGAAUCAAAGAUACUCAUUAUAAAAUGUUAUUGGUGAUGAUUAUUGGUAUCUAGUGAAAGCUAGCUAGCAAUGAAGGCUGGUUACCGUUUGAUUUUCUUUUUCUGUUUUGUGUGAUUGUUAGUAUAUUAUGUAUUUGUUUAUAUCCAUUGGGUUUUCCUUUUAUGACAAUGCAACUGCUAAUUACCUAAUUAAAACCUCGAGCUUAUAGAUGUAAAUUCUAACCUUUCUAAUUUUGCAGUUAGAUGAAACGUUAUCGAUGAUGAUUUGUCCCAUUAUUAUUAGAACACCAUAAAGAAAUUUUAGUAUUCAUAAACUGAGAUUUAGGUAUGAGCAGGGAAUUUAAACCGAAGAUGGUUGUAGCCAUAUAUUGUUUUGUACAUACUAUUUUCUUGGAUAUUUGAUUGAUUCUUCAAUCCAACUCCAAACUCUACUGCAGUAUAUGAAAUGAUAUUAAACUUUCAUCAUUUAUAAUACAAGUCAAAAACAUUGCCCAAAUGCCAAAAUAUUUAAGAUUACAAAUUUUUUGGGGUAAAAUCAGAAAGUGAUAAAACAAUAAUUAGACGACGUGCGGAUAAAUGAAUACAAUAGGUGACAACAAUCUUCAUGGUGAGACAUUAUGCAUUUAUUUGUGUUAAAAGCUCACGUUAUACUAGUAAUUAAUAUUAAGUUUAAACUAAAUUGAUAGGGAGCUUUACAAGAGUAAAGCUCCUCCAAAAAUUGGAGUAUGCCGCUAAAAGUGGCGAGCACACGGUAUUCUUUAGUAAAAGGCGAAAGAAUAGUUCGCUCUGUGCUCACCACACGGCUCCUUGACAGCAGAUGGCCACUUAUUGCACAUUAUAUUCGCAUGUAGUAGGCGAGGGCUUGAUCUUCUUAGCCAUGUGGGAUUGUCUUCUACUUCUGCAGGCAAAUUAGAAUGUCUACGUAAUUGUAUAUUGCUGGUACUUGAUGGCAUCUGCAUAAAGUCUUGACUGCCCUUUUGUGAAAUUCAGCAGAUGUUAGUUGCUUAUAUAAUCUUCAUUUGUUAAUAAAUAUGCCAUGACAUGACAAUUAAAAUAUACAAGCUGAUGAUGAAAUUGCUGCAGAAAUAAUUUUUAAUCAUACACACUCUUGCAAGGAGGUCAAAAAAUAGUGUUUCGACAACAGAAAACUGAAAUGAUUUAUGAUGGAGCAGAAUAUGGAUAAUGUUUGGUAGCUUGGACUUUCUAUACCAAUUCCUGGUGUUGAUUCACAACAUUUGAGCUUCUUAGUUACAGACAACCGAGUCUCAGUUCAAAUCACCUUAUUCUAUUAGGUACAAUGAUUUGUCCUGCAUCAACUCUCUAUUAUAUCAAAUCAAUAAAUGUGAAUAGUUAAAUGUUUACACAUUUGAAAAUGCUUUUGGAAUUUUCAAACUUGACCUUGAAUUGUGAGUGGCAUUAGGCUCGGGAAUACUGCUAUUCUUGCCUAAUAAUUGUUAAGAACCAACAAUCACAUGAACUUUUAAUAAAAAAAUGUUAGUCUGAUGAACAGAAACUAAAAAUUGUAAGUUGCAAAUGCUAACUAAACGUCGGCUUGAAAGUAAAAGUUAACUGAUUUAAAAUUUUGAUAAAGAUUCAGUAGGAGUGCACCAGGCCCUUGGGCGACCCACAGGCUUGUAUUUCAGUAGCAAGCUACCAGCUCUUAAACCGUACGCGAGAAUUUUAACAUACAAGUAGUAAUACAAAAACAAAGAAAUUUUGAAACUAGGAAUUGCAGGGCUUUACCCCGGAGGGAGCCCUUCCAGAAAUUCUCUUAGGCCAGGGCCGAACCCAGGCCUAAGAGGGGGUUUGGAAAUAGUUUUCAACCAGCAAUAGACGCGCCUCGGUUAGAACCUCACUAGCUGCGUCAUUGCCCCAAGCGCAAAGAUACUUUGGUAUGCUGAUUAACUCUCUUUAAUAUUUUGCUUCCGCUAGGGUCUGCACUGCUAACUCGUCGAUGUGGGACUUCGCUACUAUUCAAGCUUAGUUUUUAGGUUGCAAGUGAAAUAAAAGAUCGAAGUUUCUGCUCUAUGGUGAGUGGAGGAAAAUAUUUGAUGCUUCUUCCAAGCUAAGGUUUGCAUGUCUUAUCUCUUCUUCCGCUUGUAUUUUAGUUUCUUAACCCAAUAGCACAUAUACAGACAUUACAUUGUUUAGAGAAAUCAACACUGGUUCUACUGAAAGAAUGACAACAUUAUUAAGCGAAUUAGUUCUUUAAGAAUGAAGUGGCGUAUGGAAAAGGUCUGUCCUCGUAAAAACGUCACUUUUGCGCAGUUAAAUAGCGUCAUAUUCCAUAAUUGUUAGUUUGUGAAUCGGGCCUCCUGUUACUUGUGCCAAUGCAGUAGCAGCAAAUCCUGGCAUUGACAAAUAUACUUUCGUGGAUCAGAAUUCUUCCUGCAUCAGAGAAAUUGAGGAAGUUGCAUACGUAGAGAAGUUCUGCAUAUUCGUCUACUUGUAGUAUACAGGAGCCCAAAAGUAACACAAUCUUGACUGACUACGAAACCAAUCUCCGUAAUUACAGAAUGAUCACACUAACAAUGCGAGGGAAACUAAAUAAAUCAUGAACUUGCAGCAACGAUCAAUCAAUUAGUAAACUCUUCCGAAAGGGAUCCGAAAAAAUUGGUUUUCACCACACUCCUUACAAUCGGCAUGAAAAAGAUCUAAGUUAUUCAAAAAUCACUUGCAUCAUAAUUUGUUUACUCCAUACUCCAAAAGUUUCGACGUAGAAUUGGUUGGGGUGCGCCAGGCCCGUGCAGUAGUGCAACGCGCUGGCGACGCUCAGGGUUCACAGUAGCAAGCUACUGCACUGAACCCUCCCCUUAAAAAAUUAAUUUAAUAUCGUGUGGAUCGAUGAUCCACAUAUCAGAUAUUAAACUGAUAAGAACAGAUACUACACUUGAUCUUAGCCAAAAGGCCGAGAAAGGUAUGUUUUGUUAAGUGUCUCGAUUCUGUUUUUAUAGCUUCCGUCUGCAACUUGCUUAGGUUGCCCUGUCGAUGUGGGAAAGAAUUUGCUGCAUCUGAUAUAUAAGUUAAGGAGAUCAUGAGAAUGGAUUGUGUGACCUUUCGGCAUUGAGCUGCAAGGUAUUAUCAUGAACUGAUUCAGUUAUUUUAGCAUUUUUAGCCCAUGAGUAAAAAGCCUUUCACUCAACCUUCAACCUUUCGUUGUUGUUGUAACUCACAUUAAGACGAAG
rnacentral:lncRNA from 1 species